rnacentral:rRNA from 1 species
AUUGAACGCUGGCGGCAGGCUUAACACAUGCAAGUCGAGCGAGCGGCGGACGGGUGAGUAAUGUCUGGGAACCUGCCUGAUGGAGGGGGAUAACUACUGGAAACGGUAGCUAAUGCCGCAUACCCUCAGAUGUGCCCAGAUGAGAUUAGCUAGUAGGUGGGGUAAUGGCUCACCUAGGCGACGAUCCCUAGCUGGUCUGAGAGGAUGACCAGCCACACUGGAACUGAGACACGGUCCAGACUCCUACGGGAGGCAGCAGUGGGGAAUAUUGGACAAUGGGCGAAAGCCUGAUGGAGCCAUGCCGCGUGUGUGAAGAAGGCCUUCGGGUUGUAAAGCACUUUUAGCGAGGAGGCGUUACUCGACGAAGAAGCACCGGCUAACUCCGUGCCAGCAGCCGCGGUAAUUC